rnacentral:rRNA from 1 species
UACGUAGGGGGCAAGCGUUGUCCGGAAUCAUUGGGCGUAAAGAGCGUGUAGGCGGUUCGGUAAGUCGGCUGUGAAAGUCCAGGGCUCAACCCUGGGAUGCCGGUCGAUACUGCCGGACUAGAGUUCGGAAGAGGCGAGUGGAAUUCCCGGUGUAGCGGUGAAAUGCGCAGAUAUCGGGAGGAACACCGAUGGCGAAGGCAGCUCGCUGGGACGUUACUGACGCUGAGACGCGAAAGCGUGGGGAGCAAACAGG